rnacentral:rRNA from 1 species
AGUGCCAAGUUAAAAAAAGCACUUUGGUCUUUCUUUACUUCUAAAUCCGCCUUCUGACUAGGUUUCGUAAGUAGUCUUUCGUGUAAUCUAGGUUAGAUAGUGUAGCCCAUCUCUUCCCAUUUUAUAUGCUGCACCUUGACCUGACGUGUUGGUGUAAAGGCAUUAAGCUCACUAGUUGGCGCUCACGGGGUAAGCUGACGACGGAGGUAUACAGGCUGAUAAGCUAAAAAUGGUGAGGUUAAGCGGGGGUUAUCGAUUAUAGGACAGGCUCCUCUAGGUGGAUAUGGGGUACCGUCAAGUCCUUUGGGUUUUAAGCU